AUAAGCGCACACGGUGGAUGCCUAGGCGGUCAGAGGCGAUGAAGGACGUGGUAGCCUGCGAAAAGUGUCGGGGAGCUGGCAACAAGCUUUGAUCCGGCAAUAUCCGAAUGGGGAAACCCACUGCUUCGGCAGUAUCCUGCAGUGAAUUCAUAGCUGCUGGAAGCGAACCCGGUGAACUGAAAUAUCUAAGUAACCGGAGGAAAAGAAAUCAACCGAGAUUCCCUAAGUAGUGACGAGCGAACGGGGAACAGCCCUUAAGCUGGAAUGGCUUUAGAAAAACAAUCUGGAAAGAUUGGCCAUAGAAGGUGAUAGCCCUGUAUUUAAAAGGGCCACUCCAGUGAAGACGAGUAGGGCGGGGCACGUGAAACCCUGUCUGAAUAUGGGGGGACCAUCCUCCAAGGCUAAAUACUCCUGACCGACCGAUAGUGAACCAGUACCGUGAGGGAAAGGCGAAAAGAACCCCGGAGAGGGGAGUGAAAUAGAUCCUGAAACCGUGUGCGUACAAGCAGUAGGAGCUCGCAAGAGUGACUGCGUACCUUUUGUAUAAUGGGUCAGCGACUUACUGUUCGUGGCAAGCUUAACCGUAUAGGGGAGGCGAAGGGAAACCGAGUCUGAUAAGGGCGCAUAGUCGCGGGCAGUAGACCCGAAACCGGGUGAUCUAGUCAUGGCCAGGGUGAAGGUGCCGUAACAGGUACUGGAGGCCCGACCCCACGUCUGUUGCAAAAGACGGGGAUGAGCUGUGAUUAGGAGUGAAAAGCUAAUCGAACCCGGAGAUAGCUGGUUCUCCUCGAAAGCUAUUUAGGUAGCGCCUCGGACGAAUACUACUGGGGGUAGAGCACUGUUAUGGCUAGGGGGUCAUCGCGACUUACCAAACCAUUGCAAACUCCGAAUACCAGUACGUACUAUCCGGGAGACACACGGCGGGUGCUAACGUCCGUCGUGAAAAGGGAAACAACCCAGACCCACAGCUAAGGUCCCAAAUUCACUGCUAAGUGGAAAACGAUGUGGAAAGGCACAGACAGCCAGGAGGUUGGCUUAGAAGCAGCCACCCUUUAAAGAAAGCGUAAUAGCUCACUGGUCGAGUCGGUCUGCGCGGAAGAUUUAACGGGGCUAAGCAGUGAACCGAAGCUUGGGGUGCAUAAAACUUGUUUUAUGCGCGGUAGAGGAGCGUUCCGUAAGCCUGCGAAGGUGGAUUGAGAAGUCUGCUGGAGGUAUCGGAAGUGCGAAUGCUGACAUGAGUAACGAUAAUGCGGGUGAAAACCCCGCACGCCGAAAGCCCAAGGUUUCCUUGCGCAACGUUAAUCGACGCAGGGUUAGUCGGUCCCUAAGGCGAGGGCGAAAGCCGUAGUCGAUGGGAAGCAGGUUAAUAUUCCUGCACCUCGCGUGAGUGCGAUGGAGGGACGGAGAAGGUUAGGUGUACCGGGCGUUGGUUGUCCCGGGGAAAGGCGGUAGGUUUGAAUCUUUGGCAAAUCCGGGAUUCUUUAAGACCGAGCACCGAGACGAGCCUUUAUGGCGAAGUCACUGAUACCACGCUUCCAGGAAAAGCUCCUAAGCUUCAGCUCACGAAGACCGUACCGUAAACCGACACAGGUGGGUAGGAUGAGAAUUCUCAGGCGCUUGAGAGAACUCGGGUGAAGGAACUAGGCAACAUGGCACCGUAACUUCGGGAGAAGGUGCACCCUUUUUGGUGGCUCAUGCGAGCUAUAGCUGAAGAGGGUCGCAGAAACCAGGCCGCUGCGACUGUUUAUCAAAAACACAGCACUCUGCAAACACGAAAGUGGACGUAUAGGGUGUGACGCCUGCCCGGUGCUGGAAGGUUAAUUGAUGGGGUCAGCCGCAAGGCGAAGCUCUUGAUCGAAGCCCCAGUAAACGGCGGCCGUAACUAUAACGGUCCUAAGGUAGCGAAAUUCCUUGUCGGGUAAGUUCCGACCUGCACGAAUGGCGUAACGACAGCGGCGCUGUCUCCACCCGAGACUCAGUGAAAUUGAAAUCGCUGUGAAGAUGCAGCGUUCCCGUGGCAAGACGGAAAGACCCCGUGAACCUUUACUAUAGCUUUACACUGAACGUUGAGUUCGUCUGUGUAGGAUAGGUGGGAGGCUAUGAAACUGUGGCGCUAGCUGCAGUGGAGCCAUCCUUGAAAUACCACCCUGUCGUGCUUGACGUUCUAACCUAGAUCCGUUAUCCGGAUCAGGGACCGUGUAUGGUGGGUAGUUUGACUGGGGCGGUCUCCUCCUAAAGAGUAACGGAGGAGCACGAAGGUACGCUCAGCGCGGUCGGACAUCGCGCACUGUGUGCAAAGGCAUAAGCGUGCUUGACUGCAAGAUCGACGGAUCAAGCAGGUACGAAAGUAGGUCUUAGUGAUCCGGUGGUUCUGUAUGGAAGGGCCAUCGCUCAACGGAUAAAAGGUACUCCGGGGAUAACAGGCUGAUACCGCCCAAGAGUUCAUAUCGACGGCGGUGUUUGGCACCUCGAUGUCGGCUCAUCACAUCCUGGGGCUGUAGUCGGUCCCAAGGGGAUGGCUGUUCGCCAUUUAAAGUGGUACGCGAGCUGGGUUCAGAACGUCGUGAGACAGUUCGGUCCCUAUCUGCCAUGGGCGUUGGAAGUUUGAGAGGGGCUGCUCCUAGUACGAGAGGACCGGAGUGGACGAACCUCUGGUGUUCCGGUUGUCACGCCAGUGGCAUUGCCGGGUAGCUAUGUUCGGAAGCGAUAACCGCUGAAAGCAUCUAAGCGGGAAGCGCGCCUCAAGAUGAGACUUCCCGGGGCACAAGCCCCCUAAAGGAACCAUAUAGACUAUGUGGUUGAUAGGUCAGGUGUGUAAGUACAGCAAUGUAUUGAGCUAACUGAUACUAAUGAUCCGUGCGGCUUGACC
rnacentral:rRNA from 1 species